GACGAACGCUGGCGGCGUGCUUAACACAUGCAAGUCGAACGGAAAGACCCUGCUUUUGUGGGGUGCUCGAGUGGCGAACGGGUGAGUAACACGUGAGUAACCUGCCCUUGACUUUGGGAUAACUUCAGGAAACUGGGGCUAAUACCGGAUAGGAGCUCCUGCUGCAUGGUGGGGGUUGGAAUGUUUCGGCGGUUGGGGAUGGACUCGCGGCUUAUCAGCUUGUUGGUGGGGUAGUGGCUUACCAAGGCUUUGACGGGUAGCCGGCCUGAGAGGGUGACCGGCCACAUUGGGACUGAGAUACGGCCCAGACUCCUACGGGAGGCAGCAGUGGGGAAUAUUGCACAAUGGGCGGAAGCCUGAUGCAGCAACGCCGCGUGCGGGAUGACGGCCUUCGGGUUGUAAACCGCUUUCGCCUGUGACGAAGCGUGAGUGACGGUAAUGGGUAAAGAAGCACCGGCUAACUACGUG
rnacentral:rRNA from 1 species